GGAACCCUGUGGGACCGAAGCGUGCACCUGGGCUCCGUCUGCGUUCCCCAGCCAGGGUCCCUUUGGCCACCUUAAGGUCUGUUAAGCCUCCGGGCUCUAUCGGCCAGACAGGCCCUGGGCACCGCCUUCCCGGCGCUCACUGGCUGACUCGCCACACUCUCCGGCCUCUAGGACUCCUAUUGGCUUGUUUUUGCUUUCAGGCCCGCCUUGUAUGAGUUUGGAUGGAUGGCCGGAGCUCUAGCAGUCAUGUAGAACCACGAAGAUAAGGGCUCCACCCUAGGAUGGUAAAGCAGGCAGCCGGAAGGGAUUUGGGUCCCCAAGAAGAUGAAAUGAUGCUGCCGUACUGAAGUGCCUACCUCAAGACUUCUUUUACACGGGAGAAAUAAACUUCUAGCUUGCUUAA